rnacentral:rRNA from 1 species
CCUACGGUGCACUGCAGUGGGGAAUAUUGCACAAUGGGGGAAACCCUGAUGCAGCGACGCCGCGUGAGUGAGGAAGUCUUUCGGUAUGUAAAGCUCUAUCAGCAGGGAAGAAAAUGACGGUACCUGACUAAGAAGCCACGGCUAACUACGUGCCAGCAGCCGCGGUAAUACGUAGGGGGCAAGCGUUAUCCGGAUUUACUGGGUGUAAAGGGAGGGUCGACUGUUAAUCAAGUCAGAAGUGAAAACCCAGGGCUCAACCUUGGAAAUGCUUUUGAAACUGAGUAGCUAGAGUGCAGGAGAGGUAAGCGGAAUUACUAGUGUAGCGGUGAAAUGCGUAGAUAUUAGGAGGAACACCAGUGGCGAAGGCGGCUUACUGGACUGUAACUGACGUUGAGGCACGAAAGCGUGGGGAGCAAACAGGAUUAGAUACCCUUGUAGUC